GAUGAACGCUAGCGGCAGGCCUAACACAUGCAAGUCGAGGGGCAGCGCGGUGUAGCAAUACACUGGCGGCGACCGGCGCACGGGUGCGUAACACGUAUGGAACCUGCCCUGUACUGGGAGAUAACCCGGAGAAAUUCGGACUAAUAUCCCAUAAUAAACGAAGGGGCAUCCCUUUGUUUUGAAAGCUCCGGCGGUACAGGAUGGCCAUGCGCACGAUUAGCUAGUUGGUGAGGUAAUGGCUCACCAAGGCUACGAUCGUUAGGGGGCCUGAGAGGGUUAUCCCCCACACUGGUACUGAGACACGGACCAGACUCCUACGGGAGGCAGCAGUGAGGAAUAUUGCGCAAUGGAGGCAACUCUGACGCAGCCAUGCCGCGUGCAGGAAGAAGGCCCUACGGGUUGUAAACUGCUUUUAACCGGGAAGAAACCCCUCUACGUGUAGAGGGUUGACGGUACCGGAGGAAUAAGCACCGGCUAACUUCGUG
rnacentral:rRNA from 1 species